AGGUGGUCAUCUUGUCAACUGUUUUCAUAAAGAUAAGAUUUUCUAAAAGUUAUACACAAGAUGAAUGGAUUAACCACUGGAAGACCUGCACUACUACAAAUGUUAAAGAAAGUCCUUCCAAGAAAGAAAAAAGGCAACUUAAUGGAAACUUGUGUCUACCAAAUGGAAAGAAGAGCAAUGGGAAUCCUAACUACGGUACACUGAAGAACACUUUUGCAGCUGACUAACAACUCUUGAUAUUGAGAAAGUUAUCAGAAUUAUUUGCAAAUCUCCUCUCAGAUUUGCAAAGGAUGCUGGCAUUUCUCCAUGAGGCAGGAGUGUGAGAAAAAAAGUUGAAUGUGGUGAUGGGGAAAACACUGAAGUUCAAAAGAAGCGAAGACAAGAAGCUACUCAUGGCAGCAGCUUUUCCCAUAAAUCAAGAAAUGCUACAGAUUAUAAAUGAGAUGAGACUAUCAAGAAGAGACCUAAUAGGAGUGUGAAGACCAAAAAUUUAAAAGACGUGGUUAUAUACUUUGAGUAAACUCUAUAUAUAGGACAAUGUUAUUGUUUGGUUCUGUGUUCCUCACUCAAAUCUCACCUCAAAUUAUAAUCCCCAUGUGUCAAGGGCAGGACCAGGUGGAAGUAACUGGAUCAUGGGGGAAGUUUUCCUCAUGCUUUUCUCAUAGUAAGUGAGUUCUCAUAAGAUCUGAUUUUUUUAUAAGCAUAUGGCAUUUCCCCUCCUAGCAUUUUGCCUCCUGCUGCCUUGCAAAGACGGCAGUUGCUUCCCCUUUGCCUUCCGCCAUGACUGUAAGUUCCCUGAGUCCUCUCCAGCCAUGUGGAACUGUGGGUUA
rnacentral:lncRNA from 1 species